rnacentral:rRNA from 3 species
CACGUAGGGUGCGAGCGUUGUCCGGAAUUAUUGGGCGUAAAGAGCUCGUAGGCGGUGUGUCGCGUCGGCCGUGAAAACCUGCAGCUUAACUGUGGGCUUGCGGUCGAUACGGGCAUCACUGGAGUUCGGCAGGGGAGACUGGAAUUCCUGGUGUAGCGGUGAAAUGCGCAGAUAUCAGGAGGAACACCGGUGGCGAAGGCGGGUCUCUGGGCCGAUACUGACGCUGAGGAGCGAAAGCGUGGGGAGCGAACAGG